rnacentral:lncRNA from 1 species
GUUAAAGUCAUCAGUUAAUCUUUUUCUGUUCAUGACAGAGUUCCUUAGUGACCAGUAUCUGUAUCUAUGAUUACAUUUCUAUGUUAUAAAUGGUCAAUUAGAGAUUUUUCAACCUGUAAAUAAAGACAGCAUAAUCAAGAGGAAAGAGACCAGCAUUCUAGACUUUCAUGUUUACCUAAUCUCUUCCUCAGUUGACUGUCAGGAAUAGCAUCAAAAGCAAUUGUGAGCACCAUUCUUAAGGCACACUAGUAGUUAUUUUAGUAAUAUAUCCUUUUUAUUUUGCUUUCCUUAUUUCAGUCUCUCUUUUUGAAUAUCUUAUUGUACACCAGUUUUUCUUCUCCCCUUUCUGUGCCUUGGGUUUGUUACUAGUUUCUGCUGACUUGAUGAAGUAUUGAAUAAUACUCCAUUCUACUUUCCCAGUACUGAACCACUUAAGAUAUAUACAGAGAAGCAAGACAGAUGGAGAUUAAAAAGCUAGAUUGAAAACUAGGGCUUAGAUCAACAACCAAUCAAGCUUCCUAAUACUUCUCACCGUACAGACCUUGGAAUGACCCACUUACCUGGAAUCACUGCUUCAAGUGUCGAGCCUGGAGAGUAGGAACAGAGACAAGUAGUAGCCUCCAGCCAUGCUUUUAGAAGGCAGUUUCAAGUCAGUGGUAGCAAAGAAAACUAAAGAUCAUCAUAGAUACAAGUUGAGAUUCGCUUUGUAUAAUGAAUAACUGCGGAUUCACCAAGCAAAAAUACUAGAGUGGGUUGCCAUGCCCUCCUCCAGAGGAUCUUCCCAACCCAGAGAUCGAACCCAGGUCUCCCACAUUGCAGGUGCCUGUGGGAGGUGAGGUGGAGGGUAUGAACAUCCUGGGCCUGGUGGUGUUUGCCAUCAUCUUUGGUGUGGCCCUAUGGAAGCUGGGUCCCGAGAGAGCACUGCCCAUCUGCUUCUUCAGCUCCUUCAGUGAUGCACCCUGCUGCUGGUCUCCUGGAUCAUGUGACUCGGAGCAAAAUGAUGCCAGUCAGCUGAGCCAAGUGUGUGCAUUCCUCCCUCAACCCCAGACAGCUUAAUAAUGGUUCAUUAAGCAGUUAAUUAGACUCGCAGUACUUUCAGCCAGGCUCACAGACCCCGCCCAGUCGACACACCUUUGCCAUGCUCCUUUCUCAUGGUGCUUCUCACUUGGUUUUGCUGUUUAGAAGUGGCCCAAGAGGGAUUUUUAUAUUCUAGGAAAAACAAGCAAACAACUUUUGUAUUUAAAGCAUUCUGUCGGUGCAGUGAUUUUUGGUUUGUUUUGUUGACUAUGCAGCAAAAGAUGUGCACUAGGGAGCUCAGUGAUUCCAUGACCUAAAUCUAAAAGAAGAGACUGAAAAUAGCUGGGCAGGUGCCAGAAACCUACACAGGCAGCACAUGUGCAGGACCAUAACUAGUGUGGUUCUUUCAUGAAGAACAUCUUGCUCUCAUGACCUGAAGGAAAUCCCAGAGACAGAUUCAGAUGAUCGGGUAUUGCUUGUGGAGAAUCCUUGCACUUAGAAUUUUGUCCUGGUCCUGCCUUGGCAAAGUGCCAGUUGGGGAACCUCCAGGGUCUGCAAACUGGUCACUUAAAUAGAAAUUUUUGUUCUUGUUUUGAGAAUUGUCAUAAUUGAAUUUGCUAUUUUCUAAAUAUAGUAUUUUAUGUAUUUCAAGCAAACAUUUUAUUUAUUUACCAAUCAUCAAUCAUAAUAAAAAAAAACAAAACGGACCUCAGAACUGUGGGCAGGAUUGCCGUUCAUAAGUGCUGACAUCUAGUGGUUGCACUUUAAUAAAGUUCUUUAUUAAAG